AGGCAGCAGUGGGAAGUAUUGCACAAUGGGCGCAAGACCUGAUGCAGCCAUGCCGCGUGUAUGAAGAAGGCCUUCGGGUUGUAAAGUACUUUCAGCAGUGAGGAAGGUGGGUAUGUUAAUAGCAUAUUCAUUUGACGUUAGCUGCAGAAGAAGCACCGGCUAACUCCGUGCCAGCAGCCGCGGUAAUACGGAGGGUGCGAGCGUUAAUCGGAAUUACUGGGCGUAAAGCGCAUGCAGGUGGUUUGUUAAGUCAGAUGUGAAAGCCCGGGGCUCAACCUCGGAAUUGCAUUUGAAACUGGCAAACUAGAGUACUGUAGAGGGGGUAGAAUUUCAGGUGUAGCGGUGAAAUGCGUAGAGAUCUGAAGGAAUACCGGUGGCGAAGGCGGCCCCCUGGACAGAUACUGACACUCAGAUGCGAAAGCGUGGGGAGCAAACAGGAUUAGAUACCCUGGUAG
rnacentral:rRNA from 1 species